UGGCUCAGUGGAUUGAGUGCCAGGCUUCAAACCAAAGAGUAGCUAGUUCAAUUCCCAGUCAGGGCACAUGCCUGGGCUGCAAGUCAGGUCCCCAGUGGGGGCCACGUGAGAGGCAACCACACACUGAUGUUUCUCUCCCUCCUUC